AUGUGUGUUAAGUGGAAAAGGAUGUGGGAUUUCGAAGACAACUAGGAUGUUGGCUUAGAAGCAGCCAUCCAUUAAAAGAGUGCGUAAUAGCUCACUAGUCGAGAGGUCCUGCGCCGAAAAUGUCCGGGGCUGAAACACACUGCCGAAGCUCAGGGAUGAACAGUGAUCAAUACAGAUCAAUGCAAGAGGAAAGCUUCUUGAUGAAAUCAAGAAGAUUCCAAAACAGAUGAAACAGACUGCUGUUGGUCUGCGUUGAUCACUGUUCAUCGGUAGAGGAGCAUUCUUAAAGAGACGAAGCUGUACCGAAAGGAGCAGUGGAUUUUUAAGAAGAGAGAAUGCCGGAAUGAGUAGCGAGAAAGAGGUGAGAAUCCUCUUGGCCGAAUAUCUAAGGUUUCCAGGGUAAAGCUGAUCUGCCCUGGGUAAGUCGGGGCCUAAGGCGAGGUCGAAAGACGUAGUCGAUGGAUAACAGGUUGAAAUUCCUGUACUAUCCUGUAACAGAACUGUGGGGACGCAGACAGAGAGCACAAGCCGGGAAUGGAAAGACCGGUGCAAGCGAGGUAGGAGUACAUCAGGCAAAUCCGGUGUGCAAUCCGAAGACGUGACGCGGAUCGAAAAGAAGUAGAGAAGUGUGUGAGCUGGCUGCCAAGAAAAGCCGCUAUUGUUUACAGGAUACCCGUACCGUAAACCGACACAGGUGGAUGAGGAGAGAAUCCUAAGGCCGACGGGAGAAGCAUUGUUAAGGAACUCGGCAAAAUGACUCCGUAACUUCGGGAGAAGGAGUGCCAUGCGAAUGGCCGCAGAGAAUUGGCCCAAGCAACUGUUUAGCAAAAACACAGGUCUAUGCGAAACCGAAAGGUGAGGUAUAUGGGCUGACGCCUGCCCGGUGCUGGAAGGUUAAGGGGAGAGGUUAGCGCAAGCGAAGCUUUGAACUUAAGCCCCAGUAAACGGCGGCCGUAACUAUAACGGUCCUAAGGUAGCGAAAUUCCUUGUCGGGUAAGUUCCGACCCGCACGAAAGGCGUAAUGAUUUGGGCACUGUCUCAACAAUGCACCCGGUGAAAUUGAAAUACCAGUGAAGAUGCUGGUUACCUGCGCCAGGACGGAAAGACCCCAUGGAGCUUUACUCUAGCUUGAUACUGGGAUUCGAUAUUGCAUGUACAGGAUAGGUGGGAGACUAGGAAGUGGUGACGCCAGUUGCCAUGGAGUCAAUGUUGGGAUACCACCCUUGCAGUAUUGGGUUUCUAACCAGCAGCCGUGAUCCGGCUGGGGGACAAUGUCAGGUGGGGAGUUUGACUGGGGCGGUCGCCUCCGAAAGGGUAUCGGAGGCGCUCAAAGGUUCCCUCAGAAUGGUUGGAAACCAUUCGAAGAGUGCAAAGGCAGAAGGGAGCUUGACUGCGACACCGACGG
rnacentral:rRNA from 1 species